rnacentral:rRNA from 1 species
GACGAACGCUGGCGGCGCGCUUAACACAUGCAAGUCGAGCGAAGCGGCGGACGGGUGAGUAACACGUGAGUAACCUGCCUUAGACAUUGGGAUAGCCUCGGGAAACCGGGAUUAAUACCAAAUGGUCUAAGAUGGACUCGCGUCCCAUUAGCUAGUUGGUGGGUAACGGCGCAACAAGGCGACGAUGGGUAGCCGGCAGGCGAUGGUGAACCGCUACAUUGGAACUGGGAAACAGUCCGAACUCGACGGGAGGCAGCAGUGGGGAAUAUUGCACAAUGGAGGGAAUUCUGAUGCAGCGACGCCGCGUGAACGAAGGAGGCUUUCGAGUCGUAAAGUUCUUUUAUAUGGGAAGCGGUACCAUAAGAAAAAGCCCCGGCUAACUACGUGCCAGCAGCCGCGGUAAUUC